rnacentral:rRNA from 1 species
AGUUGUAUCCUGGCGUCAGGAUGAACGCUGGCGGCGUGCUUAACACAUGCAAGUCGAGCGAAGCACUCUGUUUGAUUUUUCGGUAAUGAAACAGUUUGACUGAGCGGCGGACGGGUGAGUAACGCGUGGGGAACCUGCCUUACACAGGGGGAUAACAGUUAGAAAUGGCUGCUAAUACCGCAUAACCCGCUGGGGUCGCAUGACUCUGACGGAAAGAUUGUAUCGGUGUAAGAUGGACCCGCGUCUGAUUAGCUGGUUGGUGAGGUAACGGCUCACCAAGGCGACGAUCAGUAGCCGACCUGAGAGGGUGAUCGGCCACAUUGGGACUGAGACACGGCCCAAACUCCUACGGGAGGCAGCAGUGGGGAAUAUUGCACAAUGGGGGAAACCCUGAUGCAGCAACGCCGCGUGAGUGAAGAAGUAUUUCGGUAUGUAAAGCUCUAUCAGCAGGGAAGAAAUUGACAGUACCUGACUAAGAAGCCCCGGCUAACUACGU